rnacentral:rRNA from 1 species
GAUGAACGCUAGCGAUAGGCUUAACACAUGCAAGUCGAGGGGCAGCAUGGUCUUAGCUUGCUAAGACUGAUGGCGACCGGCGCACGGGUGCGUAACGCGUAUGCAACUUGCCUCACAGAGGGGGAUAACCCGUCGAAAGACGGACUAAUACCGCGUACACUUGGGAUAGGGCAUCCUGACCCAAGGAAAUGAAAUUCGCUGUGAGAUAGGCAUGCGUCCCAUUAGCUAGUUGGUGAGGUAACGGCUCACCAAGGCGACGAUGGGUAGGGGAACUGAGAGGUUGAACCCCCACGCUGGUACUGAGACACGGACCAGACUCCUACGGGAGGCAGCAGUGAGGAAUAUUGGUCAAUGGGCGAGAGCCUGAACCAGCCAAGUCGCGUGAAGGAUGACUGUCUUAUGGAUUGUAAACUUCUUUUAUACGGGAAUAACAAGAGUCACGUGUGGCUCCCUGCAUGUACCGUAUGAAUAAGCAUCGGCUAACUCCGUG